CUUUACUGUAGCUUGGAAUUGAUUUCGGGUUUAUUUUGCGCAGUAUAGGUGGGAGGCUGAGAAUUUAUGUUUGCGGAUAUAAAUGAGCCAAAAGUGAGAUACCACUCUGAUUAAACUAGAAUUCUAAUCUUGAUGCCGUUAUCCGGCCAAGAGACAUUUUCAGGUAGGCAGUUUGACUGGGGCGGUCGCCUCCUAAAAGGUAACGGAGGCGUGCAAAGGUUUCCUCAGGCUGGUCGGAAAUCAGUCGUAGAGUAUAAAGGUAUAAGGAAGCUUGACUGUGAGACUUACAAGUCGAACAGAGACGAAAGUCGGCCUUAGUGAUCCGACAGUUCUGAGUGGAAAGGCUGUCGCUCAACGGAUAAAAGUUA
rnacentral:rRNA from 1 species